AAUUAACUUCAAACGCUGCUCAAAAAACAUCCUUCCGAAGCGAUUCCCGUAGAAAGUUCGCAUGUGCAAAAAUGCCGUUUUUUAUGUGAGAUUGCUUUAUUUAGAGGUAGAACAAAUGUCGCGUGUACGUGCCCAAGACCCGGUGGGCACAGUGUUUGCACGCUAUAUGUGGUUCCCCUUUCUGCUUGCCAUCAAGCAAAGACAAGCUGUGUAUUGGCGUAUGUCAAGCAUAAGGCCCUUGAUACCAAAAAAAAAAACACCUCCCCACCAGUAGGAUGAACCUUCCCAAGCUAAAAAUUUGCUCUUUCCCACCUCUUCCGUAUAUGUAUAAUUUUCGCUACACGCCAGCACUACGAGGGUUUAGUGAGAGCCCAUAUUCCGGUAUCGCUUGUUUAGUGUGUUCUUAGCCUUUUCUCGGCCUCACUCGGCGCCGGGAGAGCGAACGGUUCGUGUGUAUCCUUGUGUUUGUCCUGACGCUGCAGAGACAAGAAAUAAGGGGGAAAAUCGAUAUUUCCCUCGGGGGUGGUGCGCGGUGUAAUGUGUAGGGAUAACGCCACCGCUAGCGAUGAUUCAUCCUGGUUUGUUGGGCGUAUUGAGAAAAACGGAUUCGAGCGCAUUAGAUAUAGAGGGGUGCAUUAAUACGCAACCGACAGCCGGGCCGGUGCGUUGUGUACGUUUCGUACCGAAGACUGCGUACCACUUCGUUACCAUAGGGGUUGGAAAAGCUUCCAAUCUAAGUAGGGUGUGCUCUGUACUGGUGAACGGACAUCUACUACGACCAUGUCCGGCAGUGUGAAACGCUAGUGAAAAACUUAGCUCCUGGAAACGUGGAAACAACAAGCCGGGAAGGAAGGAAAGAACGACAAACAAAACCAACCAUUUCGCCAUGAACGUGCAACGAAGGUGCAAUCUUGCGGCUCGGCUUGCACUGAUAGCGGUACUACUGCAGCUGAUGUUGCUCUGUAGCACCUGCAAUGGAUAUAUGAUAAUAGCAAGCGAAGAGGACGAACCGGGCAAGGUGCUGUUCAACUCGUCCGUGUACAAACUCGGCUCGGAACGGCAGUACAAAAUCAAUGCCCACAAAUCGGCCCACUACGUGCACCAUCUGCUACGGGUCGAUCCGGACAAUGGGCAAGUGAGCCUGAAGCGCAAGCUCAAAUGUGAUGGCAUCUACUAUCCUACACUGUUUACGUUUUACGUCGACUCUACCUCGAACCGGUUGCGUAGCAUAGAUUAUUACAGCUUACCGGUAAGGAUAUUUAUCGUCGGACGCAACUGUUCCGACGAGGACGAAACGGUAGCGGCCAGUUUUCGGAAGCUCUUUGAAGAGGAUGAUACUGGCUACCACCAUCACUAUCAGCGAUACAAACGUGCUGCGCCAGUGUAUCGCUUAGCAACGGCCGUAGAUACUCCACUUGCAGCAAGUGAAGAUGACGAGUCGGAGCAGAACGAUCAGCGUAUGUACGGUGAAUAUUUGGGUGAUCGGUUCCAUUACUAUCGCUCCGAGUAUCCCUGGUUGGCGGCUACGAGUGUUACCAACUAUACGACCUUUCGCGAAGGUGAUGUCCUGUUCGAUACCGUGCUGGAGAAUGAAUAUCGGCACGGUAUUAUAACGCGCAAAAGGCGUGAAAUAAGGGAUCUACCAGCGGAUCGCAUACACCGCAAAAUAGCCGACGCUAAGCAGUGGAUCUCGGAAACGUACGCUUCAUAUGCGAUCCACACGACGGACAAGUGGAAACACAUUUGUCUGAAGAAAUCGCAGUACAUCAACUCGAUCAGUGCAUUUCUGCCCAAAACGGUUCUGCACCACUGUGCGGUUCGAUAUUUGGAUGUGAACGAUGAACGGUUCGAGAUAGAAACGCGCACAGGUGAUUUAAUUGCAACCGGAGACUUUUGCAUCCCCGAAACGCUUUGGAAGGUGAUCAUUACGUAUAAUGUGAGGUGCGACCGGAAGGAUAUUAUCGAUGCCGAUCAUCGGUUGAAGAUCGUGUACCACCAUCAGGAGCUGAACGAUACAGAUAUUGCGAAACGCGUUCGGAGAGAGUUGCGCAAUCAAAGUCCAUACUUCGAACAGGCACUGUACGUUGCCUCCGUGCUGGAGGAACAACCGUCCGGUGCAAAUGUGAUCACGGUGCGUGCCCGCGAUCCAGAAGAUUCGCCAGUAGUGUAUUCCCUCGUUUCACUACUAGAUUCACGUUCUCAGGCAAUGUUUAAGGUCGAUUCGCGUACCGGCAUUGUCACCACUUCUUCUACGCUCGAUCGAGAACUGAUGGACGUACACUACUUUCGUGUUAUUGCUACGGAUGACAGUUUUCCACCCCGUUCCGGCACGACCACACUGCAGGUAAAUGUGCUCGAUUGUAACGAUCACACACCGACGUUCGAAGCGGAACAAUUUCACGCAACCGUCCGCGAGGGAGUUAGCGUUGGUUCGACGGUAAUAACGAUACGUGCCACGGAUCAGGAUAUAGGGAAAAAUGCCGACAUAGAGUACGCCAUCACGAGCAUCGUUGCCGAAGCUCAGGAACCAACCGGUACGACGAUGGUACUGGAUGGAGAUGAUGAGCCCCAUCAAGCGGAGAACGAUAAUGGUGGUGAUGCGCAAAAAUUCCGCAUCGAUGCACGCAGCGGUACGAUAUCGACACGGAGUGCAUUGGAUCGGGAAGUUGCCGGUAUGUACACAAUUAUGGUAACUGCUACCGAUAUGGCUACACCGCAAACGGAACGCAAAUCGGCCACGACGACGGUGUUGGUGAAAAUUCUGGACGACAACGACAACUAUCCGCAGUUUAGCGAGCGAACGUACACGGUGCAGGUGCGCGAAGAUCAGUGGGCGAACGAGAACAACGUGAUUGCUCACAUUCAAGCGACCGAUGCCGAUCAGGGAAAUAAUGCUGCAAUUCGAUAUGCAAUCAUCGGUGGCAAUACGCAAUCACAGUUUUCCAUUGAUUCGAUGAGUGGCGAUGUGUCACUGGUGAAACCGUUGGACUACGAAAGUGUGAGAAGUUAUCGCUUGGUAAUUCGAGCGCAGGAUGGUGGUAGUCCUUCCCGUUCCAAUACGACACAGCUGCUGGUGAACGUGCUGGAUGCGAACGAUAAUGCACCACGAUUCUAUACCUCCCAGUUCCAGGAAGCGGUUCUCGAGAGUGUUCCGGUCGGGUAUAAUAUUGUGCGCGUGCAAGCGUACGAUUCCGAUGAGGGUGCUAACUCGGAGAUAACGUACAGCAUACAGAAUCGGGACGAUGGGAUGCCGCUGGCCGUUGAUCCACGUACCGGAUGGAUACACACUACCAAAUCGCUGGAUCGUGAAGAGCAAAGCCGGUACAGCUUCCAGGUCGUGGCUGUCGAUGGUGGAAUUCCUCCCAAAUCUGCGAGUACCUCCGUUAUCGUGACGAUUCAGGAUGUGAACGAUAAUGAUCCAACGUUCAGCCCGAAAUACUACGAAGCGAUGCUGGCUGAAGAUCAACCACCGGGCACACCGGUGACAACGGUGACGGCGACCGAUCCGGAUGAAGAUUCGCGGCUACACUACGAAAUAACUGCCGGCAAUACGCGGGGUCGAUUUGCCAUAACCUCACAAAAUGGUCGAGGGUUGAUAACGAUUGCCCAACCGUUGGAUUACAAGCAGGAGCGACGGUUUGCCCUUACCAUCACGGCAACCGACAGUGGUCAGCGGACAGAUACGGCGAUAGUGAACAUAAACAUAACGGAUGCGAAUAACUUUGCGCCCGUGUUCGAGAAUGCGCCUUACAGUGCGUCCGUGUUUGAGGACGCUCCUAUCGGUACGACGGUUCUCGUAGUAUCGGCUUCGGAUAGUGAUGUGGGUAUUAACGCACAAAUAACCUACCUGCUGAACGAUGAGUCUGUGAAUGGGUUAGGAGCGAACGAACCGUUCACCAUUAAUGCACAAACGGGUGCUAUCAUAACGAACGCGAAGCUAGAUCGAGAGAGUACGAGCGGUUACCUGUUGACGGUUACGGCAAAGGAUGGUGGAAAUCCUUCGCUAAGCGACACAACGGAUGUGGAAAUAAGUGUGACGGACGUGAAUGAUAAUGCGCCGGCAUUUAAAGUGCCACUGUAUCAAGCAACGAUUCCGGAAGAUGCCUUAAUCGGAACAUCGGUAGUACAGAUCGCAGCUACCGAUCUUGACAUGGGGCUUAAUGGACGGGUAAAGUACGCACUCAGCCAGAAGGACAUGGAUGAGGGUUCGUUCGUAGUGGAUCCCAUUUCCGGCGUAAUACGCACCAAUAAAGGGCUCGAUCGCGAAAGCAUUCCCGUGUAUCAUCUGACUGCGAUUGCAAGUGACAAGGGAACGCCAACGAUGAGCAGUAGCGUUGAAGUACAGAUUCGGUUAGAUGACGUGAACGAUUCACCACCAACAUUUGCCUCCGACAAGCUAACGUUAUACGUGCCGGAAAACAGUCCGGUCGGUUCGGUUGUCGGGGAGAUCUAUGCACACGAUCCGGAUGAAGGCGUGAACGCGAUCGUACACUAUUCGAUCAUCGGUGGUGAUGAUUCGAACUCGUUUUCGCUCGUGACGCGACCGGGCUCGGACCGGGCACAGCUACUAACGAUGACGGAACUCGACUACGAAUCACCACGCAAACGCUUCGAGCUGAUCAUACGUGCGGCCUCUCCACCGCUUCGAAAUGACGUGUACGUGGAGAUACUGGUGACGGACGUGAACGAUAAUGCGCCGGUACUGCGAGACUUUCAAGUAAUUUUCAACAACUUCCGCGACUGUUUCCCCAGCGGUGUAAUCGGGCGCAUACCGGCGUUCGAUGCGGACGUAACGGACAAGCUUACGUACCGUAUCCUUUCGGGUAACAAUGCAAACUUGCUAAGGCUAAACAGCUCCAGCGGUGGAUUAACGUUGAGUCCACAGCUAAACACGAAUGUGCCCAAGUUCGCCACGAUGGAGGUAUCGGUAACGGAUGGGAUCAAUGAGGCGAAAGCAAUCAUGCAGCUAAUCGUGCGCCUCAUUACGGAGGAUAUGCUGUUCAACUCGGUAACGGUGCGAUUGGAUGAGAUGACGGAGGAAGCAUUUCUGUCGCCACUGUUAAGCUUCUUUCUCGAUGGGUUGGCCGCUAUAAUACCGUGUCCGAAGGAAAACAUCUUUCUGUUUUCGAUUCAAGAAGAUAUCGAUGUGAGUGGAAAGAUAUUGAACGUGAGUUUCUCCGCCCGCCGACCGGAUGUGGCGUUUGAGGAGUACUACAGCUCGCAGUAUCUGCAGGAAAGAAUUUAUCUAAACCGUGCCAUACUGGCACGACUAGCGACGGUUCGUGUGCUUCCGUUUGAUGAUAAUCUUUGUGUGCGUGAGCCGUGUCUUAACUAUGAGCAAUGUUUGUCGGUGCUAAAGUUUGGAAAUGCGUCAGGAUUUAUCCAUAGCGAUACGGUGCUGUUUCGACCGAUACAUCCCGUCAAUACGUUCGCCUGCAAGUGCCCGGAAGGUUUCACGGGCAGCAGAGAACACUAUCUCUGCGAUACGGAGGUGGAUCUGUGCUAUUCGGACCCAUGUCAGAACGGUGGUAGUUGUAUGCGUCGCGAGGGAGGCUACUCGUGCGUAUGUACGGAACAGUACACGGGAGUUAAUUGUGAAACAUCAAUCGCUGGUUUGAAACCGUGCAUUUCGGAAGUGUGCGGCGAUGGGUACAGCUGUCUGACGAGCGGACAAGGUGGACAUUGGCCACCGUACACAAAAACGUGCGAGCUUAUGUCGCGAUCGUUCACGAGAAAUUCGUUCCUUACGUUCCCGGGCAUGCGUCAACGGCAUCGGUUUAACAUACGGCUAAAGUUUGCGACCGUUCGCGACAGUGGACUUCUUCUCUACAACGGACGGUACAAUGAGCAGCAUGACUUCAUUGCGCUUGAAAUCAUCAACGGAAGAGUGAUAUUUUCCUUCUCCCUUGGCGACAAGGUGGAAACGGUGACGGUGAAUCAGCAGCGCAAGGUAUCGGACGGUAACUGGCACACGGUUGAGGUGAAGUACUUUAACCGCACUGUACUGCUUUCGCUGGAUAGCUGCGAUACUGCAACGGCACUGGCAGGACUUGGAGAGCGUUGGAACUGUGCGAAUCAAACAACGCUUGUACUGGACCGACGGUGUGCAUCGCUGGUCGAACCAUGCCACCGCUUUUUCGACCUAACGGGUCCACUGCAAAUUGGUGGUUUACCCAAAAUUCCGGCUUACUUCCAAAUACGUUCCCACAGCUUCAUUGGUUGCAUUUCCGACUUGUACAUCGAUCAGCGUUACGUCGAUCUGGGUGCGUACAUUGCCGACAAUGGAACGGUGGCCGGAUGUCCGCAGAAGGCAGCCUCGUGCGCAUCGGAACCUUGCUUCAAUGGUGGCACGUGCCGGGAAGGUUGGGGCGAAGGAUGGGAGUGUGAUUGUCCCGAUGGUUUUACCGGGAAUGCGUGUCAGGAGUCGGUUGCAUUGCCGUGGCGUUUUCAUGGUGACGGUAUAUUAAGCUUCAAUCCUCUGCUUCGUGCAAUUCAGCUGCCGUGGCUGACGGCGUUUUCAUUGCGCACUCGGAAGCGUGACACUUUCGUGAUGGAAAUUCAGGUCGGACAGAAUAAUUCGGCCGUUGUGUCGCUACGGGAUGGCAUCCUACAAUAUCUGUACAAUGGAGAACCGUUGCAGUUGGUUGGAGCAGACUUGGCGGAUGGACGCUGGCAUCGGGUCGAGAUUAAAUGGAUGGGCACAGAGGUAUCGCUUACGGUGGACUACGGCCAACGGAACGGUGUACUUCCCGUAACACAAAAAAUUCAAGGCUUGUACGUCGGUAGAAUAGUGAUUGGUGGUUUGGAAGGAACAAUCGGACAGCAUUACGGUGGUCCGUCGGAAAACUAUGAAGGAUGUAUACAGGAUGUUCGCGUCGGUGGUGUACAGUCCGUGUUGAAGCGUCCAACAGUGCGCGAAAACGUGCUGGACGGAUGCGCCUCGAAUGCUAAAUGUCCCGACGAUUGUCCGGAAGAGUCGUCCUGUGUGAGCAACUGGGAUGAUGCGUACUGUGAGUGUGCGCACGGUUUUGUAGGCAACGAAUGUAAACCGGUCUGUACAGUGAAACCUUGCUCGGAUAAUGGAAUCUGUCGGGCGGAUACGUUCAACACGAAGGGCUAUCGGUGUGAGUGCAACAGUAGCUUAAGUUCGGGAGAAUAUUGUGAGAACACCGUCCAGCAACCGUGCCCCGCCGGUUGGUGGGGUGAACGUAGCUGUGGACCAUGCAAAUGUAACGUAAAGCAGGGCUAUCAUCCAAACUGUGACAAAAGUACGGGCCAGUGUUACUGUCGCGAGAAUCACUACCAACCGGUAAACGAUACGAUUUGUUUACCGUGCGAAUGCUACACGGUGGGAUCGUACGGGAAGUCUUGCAACAGCUCGGGUCAGUGUGAAUGUCGCGAGGGUGUCAUCGGUAGGCGCUGUGAUUCGUGCUCGAAUCCUUACGCGGAAGUAACCCUGAACGGUUGUGAGGUUGUGUACGACGGCUGUCCAAAAUCACACUCGGCCGGAUUAUGGUGGCCACGCACCGCUUUUGGAGAGCUGGCGGUUGAAAACUGUCCCGCACCGGCUAGAGGAAAGGGUACCAGACGCUGCGAUCAAGUUCAGAGCGGUUGGGGUACGCCCGAUAUGUUUAACUGCACUUCGGAAGCAUUUUUGGAUCUUCGCAAACAGCUGUCCCAGAUAGAGGUGGAGGGAUUGGAACUGAACACGUUCAUUUCGGUGAAAGUGGCCGCAAAUCUACAGCAAGCGUGCAUAAGCGUCGGUGGACAGGCUAACGAUAAGGAUGGAAAUGGUGGGCGCGAUAGCCGUAUGAAGGAUUUCUACACGAUCGAUUCGGAAAAGACAAUGGGCGGUACGUCGCUGUGGCGGGAAGAUGACUUUGAGCUGGACUACCUACUGAACGAUGGGCAAUCAUUCGUGCAGAGCAAACUGUACGGGGCGGAUCUGCUGAUCACCGAUCGUAUGUUACACGAGCUAAUGCGCUACGAAUCGUACCAGCAGGGAUUGAACCUUUCCCACAGCCAGGACAAACACUACGUUCGGAAUUUGGUAGAAAGUGCCGGCGAGAUAUUGGAUCGACGAUACGCGGGCGAAUGGAAAAGGGUACUAGAUCUUACCGGACGUGGACCGGACGAUUUGGUGGAUGCGUUUAACCAGUACAUGAUCGUGCUGGCACGAUCACAGCACGAUACGUACACGAAUCCGUUCGAGAUUGUCCACAAAAACAUGGUGCUCGGAAUGGAUAUUGUAACCACGGAAUCACUGUUCGGUUACGAAUCACAAAUGGUGAAACAGUUUAAUCAUGGUGUGAAGCAGCAAGCGAAGGGAAAACAAGAACCACCCGGUCACCAUCCGGAGACGGUUAUCCUACCGGAUACGAGUUCAUUUUUGCAAAGCUUACCCAAACAGAAGCAACCGAUGAUUGCUUUCCCCAAGUACAACAACUACAUUCAGGAUCGGUCGAAAUAUGAUCGACACACGAAGGUACUUAUACCGCUGGAUAUGUUGGGCAUUACGGCACCGGACAAGAAUGAAAUAGUGAAUCAAAUCGCGGAACAUCGUGCCAUUUUCACUUACGCCCAGUACAAGGAUGCUGGUGAGCUGUUUCCGGCUAAUUUCGAUGAAACCGUCACGCGCCGCUGGGGUGUUGAAAUGCAGAUCGCUAGCAGCGUUCUGUCAAUUGCAAUUGUUACGCCAACUUCCGGUAAAGAAUCUUACACGCAAACGUUCCCAUCUGCCGGAGGGAUGGAAAAACUUGCUAAUAAUCAAGUGGAAACUAUUGCUCCUCCAUCCGCUAAACACGGUACGGAGCGGACGAAUGAAAAGCUAUCGAUGAACGAGAUUAAAAUAUCGAUUCAUGAUAUGAGCGAUCAGGAUGAAGGAUUAGACACGCUGGAUCAGCAUGCGCCGCAAGUUCCGAUGAUAAACACGCCGGAGAACGGGGAAGACUUUUUCCACGAUGAUGAUCUCCCCGAAACGGUGGUGCUGGCCCGCAGCGAUAAGACAUCCUCCAUGGAACGAUCGUCCCAAGAAGGGCCGUACCGGAGACGACGUAGAAGCAUUGUAACGGCGGACGACGGUAUUACUGAAUCGCCCGAAAUGGAUACGACUUCGCGCACCAAUUAUGCCCCGCUCGGACAAACACAUCUGAAGCAAGCACUUAAAUUACAAAUGUGGCUAAACAUACCGCGGAAUAGAUUUGUAUCACGAUCCAAUCCACAGUGCGUCCGCUGGAAUACACAUGCAAACCUUUGGACACGGAUCGGUUGCCAGACGGAAAUACCGAACUACGAAUCGAUCGGUAGCAAUGAUACGAUUUUAGUGAACUGUACGUGCAAUCAGUUAGCCACCUACGCGGUGCUAGUAGACAUUAUCGAUCCGGAGGAUAUUCCGGAACCUUCACUCUUGGUGCAAAUUACUUCCUACUCAGCGUUCCUGCUUUCGUUACCGAUUCUGUUUGCGGUCAUCAUUUCGUUGGCGUUGCUUCGCGGGCUUCAGACAAACUCGAAUAGUAUUCAUCAGAAUUUACUGUUUUGCAUUUUCUCUGCUGAGUUACUAUUUUUUGUAGCCAUACAGGCGCGACGCGAUCUGCUAGACAAUGAGUUCCCAUGCAAACUGGUUGCUAUUGCGCUGCAUUAUUCUUGGCUGGCGGCAUUCGCUUGGACGACGGUGGAUUGCGUGCAUCUGUACCGCAUGCUAACAGAAAUGCGUGACAUUAACCAUGGACCGAUGGGAUUCUAUCAUACGAUAGGGUACGGUGCGCCUGCAUUACUGGUGGGUCUUUCCGUUGGUGUACGAGUCCACGAAUAUGGAAACAGUUUGUUCUGUUGGCUAUCGGUGUACGAGUCCGUUAUCUGGUGGAUGGUUGGACCGAUCGCAAUCGUUUCGGUGUUUGAUCUGUUUAUCCUAUUCCUAUCGGUAAAAGCUGCUUUUACGAUCAAGGACCAUGUGUUAGGAUUCGGCAAUUUGCGCACACUGCUUUGGUUGUCUGUUGUGUCACUACCACUGUUGGGCAUUAUGUGGGUACUAGCAGUGUUGUCUGCGUCGGAAAAUUCGCAACUGCUCAAUAUGCUACUUUCCGCCGUGAUCAUUAUGCAUUCACUGUUCUCCAUCAUUGGAUACUGUAUCAUCAACAAACGCGUGCGUGAAAAUCUUCAUAAUGCCUUUUUGCGUUGUAUCGGUCGUAAGGUGCCGCUGCUCGAAUCUUCUAUUGCGAUCAGCAAUAGUUCCCAAAACGUAGGCUCACCGAAAACGCCCGGAUUUGCGGGCGGUUCCGGUGGACAGUAUGAUACGGCCCGGAGAAACAUUGGCAUCAGUACCUCUAGCACGACUUCGCGCAGCACAGCUAAAACGAGCUCCAGCCCAUAUCGUAGCGAUGGUCAGUUUAGGCACACGUCAACGUCUACCUCGAAUUACAACAGCGAUGGGGUGGCUUCCUAUAUGCGUGGACAUUAUGAUGAUAGCGCACUGCGUAAGAUUAAAAACAGUGGCCAAGGAAGGGAUGGGGAACGUCGCAGUCAUCGAAGACAUCGUCGAGAUUCGGAUUCUGGUAGUGAAACGGAUGGUAGAAGUCUGGAACUUGCGUCGAGCCAUUCAAGCGACGAUGAGGAAUCGCGUGUUGGACGUAAUAGUAGCACGCAUCGUAGUACUGGUGUGUGCAGUACAUCGUACCUGCCGAACAUUACUGAGCAUGUGGCUACGACUCCACCAGAGUUGCAUGUGGUGCAGAGUCCGCAGCUAUUCCCGAACGUUACACCCACCAGAUGGCCUACCCAGAAUGCUGGUAAUUAUUUACCUCCUGGCAAUGGUCGUUGGUCUCAGGAAACAGCCUCAGACAACGAAGCCCAUCCUCACAAAUCCCCAACCAACGGUGGUUCACUGCCGAAUCCGGACAUCACGGAAACUUCAUACCUGCACCAGAACCGCAUGAACAUGCCACCGUCGAUUUUGGAAAACAUUCAAGAAAACUACAAUAUUGGCUAUUCCAACACGGACCUGCGCAGCGAUCGUAAUUAUAGCAAUUACGGUAACACGGAUAAUUAUAUCCCUCCGGCUGAUUACGCAAAGCGGUACGAUUCGCAAGCCUCGGUAAACCCUUCCAGCACUCUGCCCCAUCAUUAUGCAUCGUCGGUAAACGGCAGCACUGGUGGUGGCGUACCGAUUGCCGAAGCACGCCAUACAGGAUCGAUGCAGGUUAUCAAUCAUAUGCGUGCUUAUCAGCAUGAAAAUCCGUACGCACUGAAAGAAUCACUUUACGAGCGAUCACGAACGCUUGGGUAUGGGUCCAGUGGUGGAGGCGCCGAGUCACCGUACCAUGGACACCCGCUUGCUGCACCGAAUGAUCUGUACAGUCCACCCGGUUCGCAUGUCAUGUCAUUCAAGUCGAGUGUACAAUCGCUGCUGAAGAACGAUUAUCAGCAACAGCAGCGCCAACAGCAUAAGCACCAUCCGGCAGGAAAUGGUGGCGAAUCGGACCGUAUGUCCGAAGGGUCCGAUAAAAAUCCGUACAAUUUCCCGUACACCGCCGAGGAGGACCAUCUGGUGCAUAACGGUGUGCCGAGAAUGCAUCACACCGGAGGAAUGGAAAACAUGGGACAGCUGGAGCAUAUUGCUUCCUCACCACCGCCUUCACAGCUAGUUAUGCGUGGUCCUGAUGGGCUUUCGCCUGCACCGUUGCAAUCCAUAGGACAGAUAAACGGUGGCAACGAUAGCUGGUGUUGGGACCGUCUAAAAAUGUUAGAAUAAACAGGUGUCUCCUCCUGCAAACACAAGGAUCCGGGAGAAAAGAUAUAACAUAUAUUCACAGAAAUCUCAACAAGAGGGAACAACAAAAUAUUGUAAGUGCAUCCAAUGACGACGAUGAAACAACCGUCUAGCCUGCAACGUUUAGAUAACCGACAAGUGGCUUGCAGCGUUUAUUUCCACCGUUUUGCUACAUAUUGCGUGCUCUCUAUACAAAACAUUAGGAAUACUCCCCGCCGAUCCCGUCGCGGAUCUCCAUUCGUUUACAUGUAUAUUUACGACAAAUGGGACAGCAGCAAACGAUGAUGAACCAGAGACAAAGAGAAUUUUGUAAUAUAUUUAUACUAUCACUAGCAUGAAUAUAGCCACAUGGCUCAAACAAGUGGUGCUACAUUCAUGUUUUGGAUGUAUAUAUUUAUACAGAUCGAUUUAAGGAUAUACAGAAGAUUGUGGUCGUAUUUUAAUCAAUCCUGUUUCUCUGCCCGCUUUUGCUUUGUUUUCACUGCAAACCGUACUGAAAUCCUGUUCCACCGACCCAGUGUACUAGUUUUUUUUUUGGUUUUACUAAGCCCAAACAUUAUUUUUUUGUGGACGUCCAACUAUGUGUAAAAUUGCCUAAAUAGCAGCUUAAAAAUGAAAUGUGCGAACGAAAAUUUGAUUAAAAGUUGCAAGAAAAAGGUGCUUUUUUCAAUUCACGUUAAGCAAGCAGAUCGAUAAACAGACAAACAACUGCCAUCUACACGAAAGGGAGCAAAAAGUGAGCACUGCCUUGAGUAUAAUAUUGUUGUUAUAACGAUUAGUAUAUGGCUUUCGAAUAUUAUUGCGAAACCUGCUCCAUAUAAUCGAAUAGUAGGUGUUAAACAUUUGUAGCGCAAUGUGCUUUUUAUACGAUCAUUAAAAUGGGUUUUUGGAAGCUAAAUUAGACAAGAAGUAGGGAAAACAGAGAGAGAGAGAGAGAGAGAGAGAGAGAGAGAGAGAGAGAGAGAGA